AUGGGUAUGGAGAGAGCGAGAGAGAGAGAGGAGAGAGACGGGUAUGGAGAGAGAGAGAGACGGGUAUGGAGAGAGAGAGAGAGAGAGAGAGACGGUAUGGGGAGAGAGAGAGAGGAGAGACGGGUAUGGGGAGAGAGAGAGAGAGGAGAGACGGGUAUGGGGAGAGAGAGAGAGAGAGGAGAGACGGGUAUGGGGAGAGAGAGAGAGAGGAGAGACGGGUAUGAGGAGAGAGAGAGAGAGAGAGAGAGAGAGAGAGCGACGGCAUGGGGAGAGAGAGAGAGAGAGAGAGGAGAGAUGGGUAUGGGGAGAGAGAGAGGAGAGAGACGGGUAUGGGGAGAGAGAGAGAGGAGAGACGGGUAUAGGGAGAGAGAAAGGAGAGACGGGCAUGGGGAGAGAGAGAGAGGAGAGAGACGGGUAUGGGGAGAGAGAGAGAGAGAGAGGAAAGAGACGGGUAUGGAGAGAGAGAGAGAGAGAGAGCGAUGGUAUGGGGAGAGAGAGAGAGGAGAGACGGGUAUGGAGAGAGAGAGAGGAGAGACGGGUAUGGAGAGAGAGAGAGAGGAGAGACGGGUAUGGGGAGAGAGAGAAAAAGGAGAGACGGGUAUGGAGAGAGAAAUAGGGAGAGAGGAGAGACGGGUAUGGGGAGAGAGAGAGGAGAGGAGAGACGGGUAUGGGGAGAGAGAGAGAGGAGAGACGGGUAUGGGGAGAGAGAGAGAGAGAGGAGAGACGGGUAUGGGGAGAGAGAGAGAGGAGAGAGACGGGUAUGGGGAGAGAGAGAGAGGAGAGAGAUGGGUAUGGGGAGAGAGCGAGAGGAGAGAUAGAGGAGAGAUGGGUAUGGGGAGAGAGAGAGGAAAGGAGAGACGGGUAUGGGGAGAAAGAAAGAGAGGAGAGACGGGUAUGGGGAGAGAGAGAGAGAGAGAGGAGAGAUGGGUAUGGGGAGAGAGAGAAGGGAGAGACGGGUAUGGGGAGAGAGAGAGAGAGAGGAGAGACGGGUAUGGAGAGAGAGAGAGGAGAGACGGGCAUGGGGAGAGAGAGAGAGAGGAGAGAGACGGGUAUGGAGAGAGAGAGAGAGAGAGAGAGAGAGAGAGAGAGGAGAGAGACGGGUAUGGAGAGAGAGAGGAGAGAGACGGGUAUGGAGAGAGAGAGAGAGAGAGAGAGAGAGAGAGACGGGUAUGUGGAGAGAGAGAGGAGAGACGGGUAUGGGGAGAGAGAGAGAGGAGAGACGGGUAUGGGGAGAGAGAGAGAGGAGAGAGACGGGUAUGGGGAGAGAGAGAGAGGAGAGACGGGUAUAGGGAGAGAGAAAGGAGAGACGGGCAUGGGGAGAGAGAGAGAGGAGAGAGACGGGUAUGGGGAGAGAGAGAGAGAGAGAGGAAAGAGACGGGUAUGGAGAGAGAGAGAGAGAGAGAGCGAUGGUAUGGGGAGAGAGAGAGCGGAGAGACGGGUAUGGGGAGAGAGAGAGAGGAGAGACGGGUAUGGGGAAAGAGAGAGAGAGAGGAGAGACGGGUAUGUGGAGAGAGAGAGAGAAGAGACAGGUAUGGGGAGAGAGAGGAGAGACGGGUAUGGGGAGAGAGAGGGGAGAGAGACGGGUAUGGAGAGAGAGAGAGAGGAGAGAUGGGUAUGGGGAGAGAGAGAGAGAGGAGAGACGGGUAUGGGGAGAGAGAGAGAGAGGAGAGACGGGUAUGGGGAGAGAGAGAGAGAGGAGAGACGGGUAUGAGGAGAGAGAGAGAGGAGAGACGGGUAAAUGGGAGAGAGAGAGAGGAGAGAUGGGUAUGGGGAGAGAGAGAGAGGAGAGACGGGUAUGGGGAGAGAGAGAGGAGAGAGACGGUAUGGAGAGAGAGAGAGAGAGAGGAGAGACGGGUAUGGAGAGAGAGAGAGAGAGAGAGAGGAGAGAGACGGUAUGGGGAGAGAGAGAGAGAAGAGACAGGUAUGGGGAGAGAGAGGAGAUACGGGUAUGGGGAGAGAGAGAGGAGAGAGACGGGUAUGGAGAGAGAGAGAGAGGUGAGACGGGCAUGGGGAGAGAGAGAGAGAGAGGAGAGAGAUGGGUAUGGAGAGAGCGAGAGAGAGAGAGGAGAGAGACGGGUAUGGAGAGAGAGAGAGACGGGUAUGGAGAGAGAGAGAGAGAGAGAGAGACGGUAUGGGGAGAGAGAGAGAGGAGAGACGGGUAUGGGGAGAGAGAGAGAGAGGAGAGACGGGUAUGGGGAGAGAGAGAGAGAGAGGAGAGACGGGUAUGGGGAGAGAGAGAGAGAGGAGAGACGGGUAUGA
rnacentral:lncRNA from 1 species